rnacentral:tRNA from 1 species
AUUUAUAUAGUUUAAAUAAAACAUUACAUUUUCACUGUAAAAAUAAUAAAAAUUAUUUAUAAAUU